CUACUCUUGGGUUUGCCGCCUGACUGGUAUUUUACCAGCACAGCCAGUAUUUGAGGCUGCCUGGCCAUGACGGUAUUGCAGUAAUAACGGCAAUACAAAUGCCGAUAUUUUUCUCAGUAUAAACGGAGAUUACUCUGCAAUACCAGCACAAGCCAAUAGGGGUCACUGUGUGUGGAGAGAGGCAGGGAUAGGAAGUUACAUCAUAUCCCUCCCUGCUUUUCUCUACUCACUGAUCCGCAGGGGGAGCAGCUACACAGAGAGUUCAGACAGCAGCUCCCAGCCUGCAGCUCAGGGAAGUGAAGGAUGGGGCGAGGGGGGAAAGGAAGACAUAGGGACAUUGGGAGACACAUUGGGACAUGGAGACACUAGUGUCUCCAUGUCUCCCAGUCAGUGUUUCAGUGUCCCCUAGUCUCCCAGUGUCUGUGUCCCCAUGUCUCUCAAUGUCCCCAUGGCCCCCAGUGUCCCCAUGUCUCCCAGUGUCCCCAAAUGUCUGUGUCCCCAUGUCUCCCAGCCAGUGUUUCAGUGAACCCUUGACUCUCAGUGCCCCUAUUGUCCCCAUGUCUCCCAGUGUCCCCAAGUGUCUCAAUCUCCCCAUGCCUCCCAGCCAGAUUCCCUAGUGUUCCAGCGUCCCCAUGUCUCCCAGUGUCUGUGUUCCCAUGUCUCAGUGUCCCUAGUGUCCCCAAAUGUCUCAGUGUCCCCAUGUGUCCUAGAGUCUGUGUCCCCAUGUCUCCCAGUGUCUCCCAUGUCUGUAUCCACAAGUGCCCCCAUGUGUCUCAGUGCCCCCAUGACUCCCAGUGUCCCCAAGUGUCUCAGUGUCCCCUAGUAUCGUAGUGACACGGGAAACACAGACAUGGGGACACGGGGAGAAAUGAGGACACAGGGAGAAAUGAGGACACUGAGACACUUGGAGACUAGGGGACUGGGCGACAUGGGGACACUGACACUGUGAUACAUAGGGACACUGAUGCCAGGCUGUCCUUCAAUUCUUUGGACAGACAUGCCCCCUUUUUGGGCAUGUUCGCCCCUUUUGGCAGUUCUGGUCACGUGAUUUGCGUCAGUGGCCCACCCUUUUACCCUGACCAUUGACUUCCUGCUUCACUAGACACUGCUGUUAGUUGGUAUGGAUUUACUUGAAAGAUGAAAGCAUAAAUUAGAGAGAGAUUAGCAUAGAGUAUGUGUUUUCUUAUAGCUGCAUCCUUUGAGUUUCCCUCCAACACCAUCUCCAUCAGAUACAUGACGCUUGGGAGGUAUGACUGUUUUAUUGUUUUUGGUCAAUAAGAUUCUGUAAUUAGGCCCCAUCAUAAUUGUCAGCACCAGGCCCACUGGGCUCUUAAUCUGGCCCUGCAAGGUAGGUGCAAGUUGCUCUGUCAAAUGAGAUUGAAGGGAACGCCAGUUUCAAAUUCACCUCUUCUUUAAUGCAUAAAAUUAUCAUUAAAA